rnacentral:misc_RNA from 1 species
CCCUAGCCCUGAUAGAAACGAAAAUCCUUUUUAUUUUGUGAGGUACGAAUAAAUAAAAAGAUUGCUUCGCCAGUUCGCUUCGCUCGGGUGCAGUGGAUAGCAGGAAUAGCU